rnacentral:tRNA from 1 species
GGGCGGGUUAGCUUAGUGGGUAGAGCUUAGGACUUGUGACCAGAAGGUCACGGAUUCGAAUCUCGCCCGAACUA